rnacentral:rRNA from 1 species
CGGGCUGGACCUCUCGGGGUUACAGCCUUGCUGAAUUAUUCACCCUUGUCUUUUGCGUACUUCUUGUUUCCUUGGUGGGUUCGCCCACCACUAGGACAAACAUAAACCUUUUGUAAUUGCAAUCAGCGUCAGUAACAAAUUAAUAAUUACAACUUUCAACAACGGAUCUCUUGGUUCUGGCAUCGAUGAAGAACGCAGCGAAAUGCGAUAAGUAGUGUGAAUUGCAGAAUUCAGUGAAUCAUCGAAUCUUUGAACGCACAUUGCGCCCUUUGGUAUUCCAAAGGGCAUGCCUGUUCGAGCGUCAUUUGUACCCUCAAGCUUUGCUUGGUGUUGGGCGUCUUGUCUCUAGCUUUGCUGGAGACUCGCCUUAAAGUAAUUGGCAGCCGGCCUACUGGUUUCGGAGCGCAGCACAAGUCGCACUCUCUAUCAGCAAAGGUCUAGCAUCCAUUAAGCCUUUUUUUCAACUUUUGACCUCGGAUCAGGUAGGGAUACCCGCUGAACUUAAGCAUAUCAAUAAGG